rnacentral:rRNA from 1 species
GAUGAACGCUAGCGGGAGGCUUAAUACAUGCAAGUCGAACGGCAGCGGGGGUAGCAAUACCUGCCGGCGAGUGGCGCACGGGUGAGUAACGCGUACGCAACCUACCCUUUACCGGGGCAUAGUCACGGGAAACUGUGAAUAAUUCCGUAUACGGUUUAUUGGUCGCAUGAUUGAUAAACUAAAGUCUUCGGGCGGUAAAGGAUGGGCGUGCGUCUGAUUAGGUAGUUGGUGCGGUAACGGCGCACCAAGCCUGCGAUCAGUAGGGGGCGUGAGAGCGUGACCCCC